CCUACGGGAGGCAGCAGUGAGGAAUAUUGGUCAAUGGUCGUAAGGCUGAACCAGCCAAGUCGCGUGAAGGAAGAAGGUUCUAUGUUUUGUAAACUUCUUUUAUAGGGGAAUAAAGGUAUCCACGUGUGGAUAGAUGCAUGUACCCUAUGAAUAAGCAUCGGCUAACUCCGUGCCAGCAGCCGCGGUAAUACGGAGGAUGCGAGCGUUAUCCGGAUUUAUUGGGUUUAAAGGGUGCGUAGGGGGUUUUUUAAGUCAGCGGUGAAAGUCUGUGGCUCAAACCUAAGAUUGCCGUUGAAAAUGGAAGACUUGAGUGUGUGAGAGGUAGGCGGAAUGCGUGGUGUAGCGGUGAAAUGCAUAGAUAUCACGCAGAACUCCGAUUGCGAAGGCAGCUUACUAAGCCAUAACUGACGCUGAAGCACGAAAGCGUGGGGAUCGAACAGGAUUAGAUACCCUAGUAGUC
rnacentral:rRNA from 1 species